rnacentral:rRNA from 1 species
UCAAGCUACUAAGGGCAUACGGCGGAUGCCUAGGCGCCAUCAGCCGAUGAAGGACGCGGUAAGCUGCGAAAAGCUACGGGGAACUGCAAGCAAGUAUUGAUCCGUAGAUGUCCGAAUGGGGAAACCCACCUGCCGUCAUGGGCAGGUAUCCGAAAGGAAGGGAACCCGGGGAACUGAAACAUCUAAGUACCCGGAGGAAGAGAAAUCAAACGAGAUGCCCACAGUAGCGGCGAGCGAAGAGGGCAGAGGGCAAACCGGGGAGCUACGGCUCUUCGGGGUUGAGGACUGCAUUUAGUCUUAAUGGUUUAUCCGAACUACCUGGAAAGGUAGGCAAUACAGUGUAAAAGCCACGUAGGUUAAAGACCGGAGAGAUGAGCAGUAUCCAGAGUACCACGAGGCACGAGGAAUCUUGUGGGAAGCCGGGGGGACCACCCUCCAACCCUAAACACUGAAUGGCGACCGAUAGCGCAUAGUACCGUGAGGGAAAGGUGAAAAGAACCCCGGGAGGGGAGUGAAAGAGAACCUGAAACCGUAUGUCUACAAGCAGUCGGAGCGAAAGCGACGGCGUGCCUAUUGAAGAAUGAACCAACGAGUUACGUGCACUAGCGAGGUUAAGUGGAAGACACGGAGCCGAAGCGAAAGCGAGUCUUAAGAGGGCGAAUAGUUAGUGUACGUAGACCCGAAACCGCAGUGAUCUACCCAUGUCCAGGUUGAAGCGCAGGUAAAAUUGCGUGGAGGACCGAACCUGUGAGCGUUGAAAAGCUUUAGGAUGAGAUGUGGGUAGAGGUGAAAUUCCAAUCGAACGCGGAGAUAGCUGGUUCUCCCCGAAAUAGCUUUAGGGCUAGCCUCAAGUAGUAAGUAUAGGCGGUAGAGCACUGAUCGGGCUAGGGGCCAUAAAGGUUACCGAACCCUGUCAAACUCCGAAUGGUUAUACUGUAGAGCUUGGGAGUCAGACUACGAGUGAUAAGAUCCGUGGUCAAAAGGGAAACAGCCCAGACCACCAGCUAAGGUCCCCAAUGUCGUACUAAGUGGAAAAGGAUGUGGGGUCUCUAAAACAACCAGGAUGUUGGCUUAGAAGCAGCCACCAUUUAAAGAGUGCGUAAUAGCUCACUGGUCGAGAGACCCUGCGCCGAAGAUUACCGGGGCUAAAGUACGAAACCGAAGCUGUGGCUACGACGUAAGUCGUGGGGUAGGGGAGCGUUCUGUGAGGGCUGAAGUCGUUCUGUAAGGAACGGUGGACUUCACAGAAGUGAGAAUGUUGGUAUGAGUAGCGAAAAGAAUGGUGAGAAUCCAUUCCACCGAAAGCAUAAGGAUUCCUGGGCAACGAUCGUCGUCCCAGGGUAAGUCGGGACCUAAUCCGAGGCAUAGAGCGUAGGAGAUGGACAACUGGCAGAUAUUCCAGUACCGGUAAUGAUUGUUUGAGCGAUGGAGUGACACAGGAGGGCAGGCAGGCAGGAGAUUGGUUGUUCCUGUACAAGCGUGUAGGAUGGGACGUAGGCAAAUCCGCGUCCUGUGAGUCUGAGGCGUGAUGUGGAGGUUCCGGAAACGGAACUGAAGCUGCUGACCCCACACUGUCGAGAAAAGCUUCUAGUUAGAGAAUUACCGCCCGUACCGUAAACCGACACAGGUAUGCGGGGAGAGAAUCCUAAGGUGCGCGGGAGAACCCUCGUUAAGGAACUCGGCAAAAUGUACCCGUAACUUCGGGAUAAGGGUAGCCGCUGUUGUGAAGUCUGAACAGAUGGAGCAUGAGGCGGUCGCAGAGAAGAGGCCCAAGCGACUGUUUACCACAAACACAGGUGCCUGCUAAAGAGAAAUCUGACGUAUAGGUGCUGACACCUGCCCAGUGCCGGAAGGUUAAGGAAGGAUGUCCGGAGCAAUCCAAAGCAUUCGACCGAAGCCCCGGUGAACGGCGGCCGUAACUAUAACGGUCCUAAGGUAGCGAAAUUCCUUGUCGGGUAAGUUCCGACCCGCACGAAAGGUGUAACGAUUUGGGCACUGUCUCAACGAGGGACCCGGUGAAAUUGAAGUACCUGUGAAGAUGCAGGUUACCCGCGACUGGACAGAAAGACCCCAUGGAGCUUUACUGUAACCUGACAUUGGGUUCUGAUACAUCACGUACAGGAUAGGUGGGAGGCAUGGAAGCGAGGACGCUAGUCUUCGUGGAGCCGCCGUUGGGAUACCACCCUUGAUGUAUCGGAAUUCUAACCGUAGGAGUAACGAAACUCGGGACAGUGUCAGGCGGGCAGUUUGACUGGGGCGGUCGCCUCCCAAAGAGUAACGGA